CCUACGGGUGGCUGCAGUGAGGAAUAUUGGUCAAUGGGCGCGAGCCUGAACCAGCCAAGUAGCGUGAAGGAUGACUGCCCUACGGGUUGUAAACUUCUUUUAUAAAGGAAUAAAGUGAGGCACGUGUGCCUUUUUGUAUGUACUUUAUGAAUAAGGAUCGGCUAACUCCGUGCCAGCAGCCGCGGUAAUACGGAGGAUCCGAGCGUUAUCCGGAUUUAUUGGGUUUAAAGGGAGCGUAGAUGGGUUGUUAAGUCAGUUGUGAAAGUUUGCGGCUCAACCGUAAAAUUGCAAUUGAUACUGGCAGCCUUGAGUACAGUUGAGGUAGGCGGAAUUCGUGGUGUAGCGGUGAAAUGCUUAGAUAUAACUUAGAACUCCGAUAGCGAAGGCAGCUUACCAGACUGCGACUGACGCUGAAGCACGAGAGCGUGGGUAGCGAACAGGAUUAGAUACCCUAGUAGUC
rnacentral:rRNA from 1 species